rnacentral:rRNA from 1 species
UACAGAGGGGGCAAGCGUUAUUCGGAAUUAUUGGGCGUAAAGGGCGCGUAGGCGGCCUGGCAAGUGGAAGGUGAAAUCCCUCGGCUUAACCGAGGAACUGCCCUCCAAACUGCUUGGCUUGAGUCCGGGAGAGGUGAGUGGAAUUCCCAGUGUAGCGGUGAAAUGCGUAGAUAUUGGGAGGAACACCAGUGGCGAAGGCGGCUCACUGGACCGGAACUGGACGCUGAGGCGCGAAAGCGUGGGGAGCAAACGGG